UCCUGUGGGUCUGUAAGUUAAGGGAGAAGAUGGCGGCGCUAGGGGAACCCGUGCGUCUGGAGAGAGAUAUUUGUAGAGCAAUUGAAUUAUUGGAAAAACUACAAAGGAGUGGAGAAGUACCACCACAGAAACUUCAGGCUUUGCAAAGAGUCCUUCAAAGUGAGUUCUGCAAUGCUGUGAGAGAGGUAUAUGAACAUGUCUAUGAGACUGUGGACAUCAGUAGCAGUCCUGAAGUGAGAGCGAACGCUACUGCAAAGGCUACUGUUGCUGCAUUUGCUGCCAGUGAGGGACAUUCUCAUCCUCGAGUUGUUGAGCUACCAAAAACAGAAGAGGGCCUUGGAUUCAAUAUUAUGGGAGGCAAAGAACAAAACUCUCCAAUCUAUAUAUCUCGAAUAAUUCCAGGUGGAAUUGCUGAUAGACAUGGGGGCCUCAAACGUGGAGAUCAACUCCUCUCUGUUAAUGGAGUGAGACAGGAUCUUGCUUUGUCUCCCAGGCUGGAACACAGUGGUGUGAUCAUAGCUCACUGCAGCCUGAAACUCCUUGGCUUCCACCUCAGCCUCCGAAAGCAUUAAGAUUAUAGGCGUGAGCCGCUGCACCUGGCCAGUGGCAGAUAAUCUCCCUGAUGGAAUCUUGAAGAUUUACUUUAUAUACAGGGCAAAAGUGUUAUGGGUUGAACUGUGUUCCCCUAAGGUAGGUUGGAGUCCUAACCCCCAGUACCUCAGAAUAUGACCUCAUUUGGUGAUAAGAUCUUUACAGAGGUAAUCCAAUUAAAAUGAGGUCAUUAGGGUGGGCCCUAAUUCAGUAUGGCUAGUGUCCAUAUUUUUUGAAAAGUUGGGAGCGAUUUGAACACAGACGCACACCCAGGGAGAACACCAUGGGUAGAUGAAGGCAAAGAUUGGGGUGAUGCUUCUACAAAUCAAGAAAUAUUGAAGAUUGCCAACAAACUACCAGAAGCAAGAAGAAAGGCAUAGACCAAAUUCUCCCUCUCACUCAGAAGGAACCAAGUCUCCUGACACUUUGAUCUUGGACUUAACAGCCUCCAGAACUGUGAAACAAUAACUUUCACUUCAGCCACCUAGUUUGUGGUACUUUGUUAUGCCAGCCCUAGAAAAUUAACAUGUGAGAGAAUCCACCUUUCAGUGGCAUCACUACCAAAACUGGGUACAGAAGCAAAAUUAAAUGUGGGUCUCCAAUGUGUGAUAAAAACAUUCCAGUAGAAGUGGCUUUGGCUAAGGAAGGAUGAGAUUCCUGGCCCUUGGGGAUGAGGAGAAUGCUGGUUUCUUUGUUUUCUGUGGUUGAAAUGCUUCCUUGGACACCUGUGCAGCUGUGUAACUGAGCUUGUGCCUCCACAUUGGCCCCCUGGACUCAUGAGCACCUAAGCACCUAGCUGUUUCUUCACUUUAGGUUGUCAGUUACUGCAUGGCUGCGUCUUAACUCCAGGACUUGUCAGGAGUUGGUAUUGUUAGGGCAUUGUCUCCUUCAGCACUGAGAGUAGUUUCUGCAGCAGUCCUUGUUCCAGCUGGGUGAGAUGAGGAUAUGCCUUUGACAUGGGACAUUUCAGCCUGUAAAGGUUUGUACAGGUUCCUUAUGAUCCAUGGGCCUAGUACCAAGCAUUAAUUAAGCCAGAACCGAUUGUGUUGCUCCCUUUUUAAAACUCUGCAUUGUACUUAGGAUAAAAUCCAAAUACCUUGCCAUGACCUCAAAGGUUCUGCAUAAUCCAUGCCCUACUUCCUCUCAGGCCUCAUCUCAGUCCACUCUCCUACUUGUUCUGCUCCACAGCCUAUUGCCUUGCUGGAAGGCUUCCCUCUGGUUCUUGCACUAACUGGCUGCCCCUCAUUCAGGUGUCAGCCAAGGUUGCCUUGCCUGUUAAGUUCACCAUCUAAAGGCUGAUUCCUCAUCCUUUAACAUGGAAACACCUUGUUUUUGUUUUUUGGGGUGUUUUUGUCUUUUUCGGGAGACAGUUUCGCUCUUGUUUCCCAGGCUGGAGUGCAAUGGCAUGAUCCCAGCCCACUGCAACCUCUGCCUCCCGGGUUCAAGAGGUUUCCUGCCUCAGCCUCUCAAGUAGCUGGGAUUAUAGACAUGCCACAAUGCCCAGCUAAUUUUGUAUUUUUAGUAGAGAUGGGGUUUCACAAUGUUGGCCAGGCUGGUCUGGAACUCCUGACCUCAGGUGAUCCACCCACCUCGGCCUGCCAAAGUGCUGAGAUUACAGGCAUCAGCCACCGUGCCCAGCCAACACCUUGUUUAUAUUAACGUGCUUAAUUGUUGUCUUUUCCAUUAAAAUUUAAGUUACAUGACAGCAAGAAGGACACAACUGUACCCCCAUUACUUAACACAGUGCCUAAAACAUGGUAUGAUGACUUGUUAUACCUUGUUGAAUUGACUGGCUUUCCAUAAUUCCACAGGUAGAUCAAUAACUUAUAUUGGAACUGUAUGAAAACAAUGAUGUGUGUAUCAGGUAGACAGUAUUUAUCAACUGAUCUUGAUGUUAGAUGUCCUAGAAAGGAUCAAAAUACUAAAGGGACAAUACUCUUGUCAAUCUUUUAUUACCUCGCUCCAUUAACAUGCCAAGUAGCAUUUGUGGAGGACAACAAUGAAGGUUACUUUCAUCUUUUAUGUAAAACUGUUCCAACUAAUGCUAAUAGUAGAUAAAAUUUGUACAGUAACACCUAAUUUUUAAAAAUAGAACAAAGAUUUUCUUUGGGUAUUGCAACAACCAAAAUUAAAUGAAGAAUUGUGUACUGCUAACCAAGACCUAAUUUUUAAAAUGUCUGUUGUGUAAUUUUAAAUAAAAAAUAACAAGGCUGGACACAGUGGCUCACACCUGUAAUCCCACCACUUCGAGAGGCCAAGGCAGGCAGACCGUUUGAGCCCAGAAGUUCAGGACCAGCCUGGGCAACAUGGCGAAACCCUGUCUCUACAAAAAAUACAAAAGUUAGCCAGGCAUGGUGGUGCACACCUGUAGUCCCAGCUACUGGGGAGGCUGAGGCAGAGAAUCAGUUGAGCCUCAGAGUUCGAGGCUGCAGUGAGCCCUAAUCGUGCUGGUACUAUAGGUGCAGGCCACCACACCCGGCUAAUUAUCAUUAUAUAUAUAUAUGCAUAUGUAUACAUACAUAUAUAUAGAGAGAGACAUUUAAUGAGAAAUUAUAAUUGUCCAGCAGGCUACGCAGGCUAGAGAGCAAUAAAAAAAAUAAGACUCGCGGACAUUCAGUCACUUGUCAAGGUGCCAGCUAAAUGCCACAGUCCCUUCUCACACCGGGGUAUGUCUGGAGUGGACUCAGGGACAUGGGCUCAACAUGUCUAAGCAGCUUAUUGUGGCUUUUGUCAAAACCUCCAUACAGCACCAACUGCACUUCCCAUCAUGCGUGUCAUCACUAAGCACUCACGUUACCUUUUUUUUUUUUUUUUGAGACAAGAGUUUUGAGCUCAUAUUCUGGCCCUGUGUCGCCCAGGCUGGGGUGCAAUGGCGCGAUCUCAGCUCAGUACAACCUCCGCCUCCCAGGUUCAAGUGAUUCUCCCUGUCUCAGCCUCCCAAGUAGUUGGGAUUACAGGCACCACCACGCCCAACUAAUUUUUGUAUUUUUAGUAGACACGGUUUCGUCAUGUUGGCCAGGCUAGACUUGAACUCCUGACCUCAGGUGAUCGACCUGCCUUGGCCUCCCAAAGUGCUGGGAUUACAGGCAUGAGCCACUGUACCCAACCAGCACUCAUAUUACCUUGAAAGCACCUGCUGUGUGCUGAUGAGCCCUUUCUACCAGUUAUCCUUAACACAUCCAUUGGCUGCCCAGCCCAGUUAGAAUAGAAACCCAAGCCCCUCUCCAUGAUCCACCAAGCCCUGCGUAAUCCAGCUUCUGCUUCCCUCCCCAGCCUUCACCCAUACACUUUUUCCCUCUCUGUCUUCAAGUGCCUCCAACAGGACAGGCCUUCACACUUGUGGUUCUCUCUACCUGGAACCUCCUUUGCCCUCUGUUGCUAUGUAUUUAUUUGUCAAUUUUGGCUACUCCCUCCUCAAGAUAAUAAACUUGUUGAGGGCAGGCAGGACCCUGUUUAGUUUUCUGUUAUAUAUUUAGAGCUGAGAACAGCACCUACCACAUAGUAAACAAUAUUUGUUCACAGAAGAAACAAUUUGAAAGAAGACUGUGGUGUUAUUUUUGAUAGGAAAGGACAUCUGAGAUGACAUUUAAAGAGACCUGAAUGGUAUGAACUGAAGAAGCCACUCUUGGACUAUCUGGGAAAUCAGGGUUUUUGACAGGGACCAAUAAAGAGUAUCUCCCUUCCCCACUUGGGUUCUAGGUACAGUAGGAAAUAGUGGCAGAUGAGGGCCAGAAUAUGAGCUUUAUUAUUUAUUAAUUUAUACUGACCACAAAUGUUUGUCGGAUGUCCACCAUUUGCCAGCCACGGUUAGGGGCUGGGAAUUCAGUGGAGAACAAAACAAAGUUCUUGCUGUCACAGAGCUGACACUCUGCUCAAGGCUGGGCAGGGGCAUGUACCUGAGGCCUGAGAAGAAAAUGGGCAUUCUGAAAACUGGCCAGAGAAGCUUCUCAGAGAAGCCUGUGGCUGGGGGGCUCAGUCUGGCCAAUUUUCAGGCAUGGAAUGGGCAUGGUCGGGACUGAACUCUGAUGGUGCCCAUCCCGCGGGGGCAGAGCUUGCCCCUUCUCUCGGCGUGGCUAGGAUAAGGGCCUGUUGCCUCCCGGAUUACCAGUCAGAUGCCACUCCACUCCCAUGGAGUGAAUUUUACCAAGGGUGGAAGCGGGUAGGAGUGAUCACUCACGUGAUAAAACCUAGAAAGGACGGUAUCCCUGCAUCCAGGCAAACACAUGAACCUAUCAAUAAUUAUAAAAUAGAAUGGCUGCAAACAAAAUUAAACAUUUGUUGCAAAUAUUGGCAGUAUUGGAAUUUAUAAUAUGAUAUUUUCCUUUUAAAGCUAAGGAGGGAAGGACUUCAUCACACACAUACACACACACACACACACACACACACACAUUUUUCCCCCCACUGCCUUCCAUAAAUACAUGUAACUCCUCACAAAUUUAGUAUGCUAUAUGCAUAAGGCUUUUCUCCUGCUUUUUCACAUUUGACCACAAGGUGGCGCCAAAGUGCUACUGUUUCUAUUUUAGCAUUUUCUAGCAGUUCUUACCAACUGAAGCUCAGACCUAAGAUUUAGAAUGUACUCCAUCUUUUCUUUUUAAUUCAAAAUUAAAAUUGAAAUGUAUUUUAUAAAAUUGAAAGCUUUGUAAAUGUGGAGAAACAACUCCUCCCAAAUAAACCCUAAAUAAAACAAACUUAUGUAAAAUACCAAACUACAUGAGUAGUCAUCUAACAUUUAGUAAAAAGGUUUGGGAAGGUGGUGGGGUGGUGUAUUUAAUACUGCUUUUUUGGUCCUUCUACUAAAUAUAAACAACUUUAGAUGGUUGGAAAUUAUCUUUGGCUUUGCUUCUCUUACGUGUCUGCACCCCUCACAGGAUGUUUGAGAAAAGUAAUUUCAUAGGGGAUGUGGCAACUUCUUUUAAAUAAACUGGAGACCAUCUGAAUCAUUGCGAUUAACUUGUUGUGUGUGACAAUAAACUUGUCAAAAAUGUUCUUUUCCAUGAAAAUUUAAAAAAAUUCAACCGACUACAGAGUAGAAAGAGCAGUUG